rnacentral:tRNA from 1 species
CCCAGCAUGGCUUAGAGGGUAAAGUGUCUGCCUGCAAUGUGGGAGACCUGGGUUCGACCCCUGGGUUGGGA